rnacentral:rRNA from 1 species
GACGAACGCUGGCGGCGUGCUUAACACAUGCAAGUCGAACGGAAAGGCCUGCUUUCCCUUGUGGAUUGCGGGUACUCGAGUGGCGAACGGGUGAGUAACACGUGAGUGAUCUGCCCCCAACUUGGGUAUAAGCCUGGGAAACUGGGUCUAAUUCCCGAUAGGACUGCAGGGUGGUGCCUGUGGUGGAAAACGAUUUUCUAGUGGUUGGGGCUGAGCUCGCGGCCUAUCAGCUUGUUGGUGGGGUAAUGGCCUACCAAGGCGGCGACGGGUAGCCGGCCUGAGAGGGUGGACGGCCACAUUGGGACUGAGAUACGGCCCAGACUGCUACGGGAGGCAGCAGUGGGGAAUAUUGCACAAUGGGCGGAAGCCUGAUGCAGCGACGCCGCGUGGGGGAUGACGGCCUUCGGGUUGUAAACUCCUUUCGACCGCGAGGAAGCCACCUGGUUGGAAGGGUGGUGACGGUAGUGGUAGAAGAAGCACCGGCUAACUACGUG